rnacentral:rRNA from 1 species
CACGUAGGUGGCAUGGUAAGUCAAAGGUGAAAGCCCUCGGCCCAACCGAGGAAUUGCCUUUGAAACUGCUUUGCUUGAGUCCGGGAGGGGGGAGCGGAAUUCCCAGUGUAGCGGUGAAAUGCGUAGAUACUGGGAGGAACACCGGUGGCGAAGGCGGCUCCCUGGACCGGUACUGACACUGAGGUGCGAAAGCGUGGGUAGCAAACA